UUAACGUAAAACACCCUGAUGAAGGACACGUUGGCUGAUCACUGAAGGAAAAGAGAGAAAAGAAACAAAAUCCCUCCUCCCUGUGGUCUUUAUCUGAGCUGAGGAGGCGGGUUCAUCAGAGCUACAGACGAACCAGGAGAGAUCAGUCCAAUCCCAGGAAACAGAGGCUCAGUGAAGGAGCAGAAGAAGGUGUGGAGGAGGAACAGUUUAUCAUCAGAGAGAAUCAGAUAGAAGGACAGAACUCCAGCCUCAGAAUCCAGGAACACUCCCAGUCGAGACUCCAGGACUGAUCAUUGUCUCCAAACCUACAGCUCUCUCCUCUGCGUCUGAUUCCUCUGUAACUCACCGCUACAUCAACAUCAUCCUCCCAACUUCUCCGCUCCACCUCCCAGUAACAGCGCCCCCUCAGGCCAGUGCAGCUCAGGACCUGAGGCUGGUCCAUGAACCUGUCCUCAUGACGUGGACACAGCUGCUCCUUCACACGUCUCACUGAGCGUUUGUCCUCAGACAGAAGGAGCUCUCUGUGAGCUGUGUUUGGAUCCAGAGAGAACUCACAGGAAUCUGAGAAACAAACACACUGAUGACAUCACUUCCUGUACUGUACGGUUUAGAUAAAUCUAUAGAUCAGUGACUUACAUUUCCACAGACCUGGGACCAUCCAUCGUUCUCCAGAAGGAUCCAGUCUGAAACACACAGCUCUGUCACACACAAGUCCAGUUUAAGACCAGAGACAAACCAGGACUAAACCAUGGACGGAAAAUUAACUGACCAAAUGCAAAAAGUAUCUGACGGGCUGUGUCAAAAGUGUCUGACAUUAAACACUGACAAAACAGUCGCAAUGCACUUAUAAAUAGAGGUAAAAACAUAAAUUAUCCAAAUAUUUUUAUUGAUGGCAAAAAAAUAAAAAAUGUUAAUGAAUUCACGUACUUAGGGUAACCCUGGACCGUAAAAAAAACGUAGAAACUCUUUACAAUUGAACUUGUCCAGCUUUAGAUACAUACGGGGGUCUCUUACCACUGAGGCGUCCCAUUUGUACCU
rnacentral:lncRNA from 1 species